AGCGAACGCUGGCGGCAGGCCUAACACAUGCAAGUCGAGCGCCCGUAGCAAUACGGGAGCGGCAGACGGGUGAGUAACACGUGGGAACGUACCCUUCGGUUCGGAAUAACCCAGGGAAACUUGGAUUAAUACCGGAUACGUCCGUAAGGAGAAAGAUUUAUCGCCGAAGGAUCGGCCCGCGUCCGAUUAGCUUGUUGGUGGGGUAAUGGCCCACCAAGGCUACGAUCGGUAGCUGGUCUGAGAGGAUGAUCAGCCACACUGGGACUGAGACACGGCCCAGACUCCUACGGGAGGCAGCAGUGGGGAAUAUUGGACAAUGGGCGCAAGCCUGAUCCAGCCAUGCCGCGUGGUGAUGAAGGCCCUAGGGCUGUAAAGCCCUUUCGGCGGGGAAGGUAAUGACGGUACCCGCAGAAGAAGCCCCGGCUAACUUCGUGCCAGCCGCCGCAGUAACAC
rnacentral:rRNA from 1 species